rnacentral:rRNA from 1 species
GAUGAACGCUGGCGGCGUGCCUAAUACAUGCAAGUCGAGCGAACACACGAGAAGCUUUUGCCUCUGAGGUUAGCGGCGGACGGGUGAGUAACACGUGGAUAACCUACCUAUAAGACUGGGAUAACUUCGGGAAACCAGAGCUAAUACCGGAUAAUAUAUUCAACCGCAUGGUUCAAUAGUUAAAGACGGUUUUGCUGUCACUUAUAGAUGAAGCCGCGUCGCAUAAGCUAGUGGGUAAGGUAACGGCUUACCAAGGAAACGUGGCGUAGCUGACCUGAGAGAGUGAUCGGCCACAGGGGAACUGAGAAACGGCCCAGACUCUACCGGGAGGCAGCAGUGGGGAAUCUGCCGAAAAGGGCGAAGGCCUGACGGAGCAACGCCGCGUGGGUGAUGAAGGUCUUCGGAUCGAAAAACUCUGUUAUUGGGGAGGAAAAAAGGUGUAAGUAACUAUGCACGUCUUGACGGUACCUAAUCAGAAAGCCACGGCUAACUACGUG